UGCCAGGGUCGGGGUCCGAGCAGGUGAGGCGCUCCCACUUCCGCGCGCUGCGGGAGCCGAGCGGGGAGGGCCAGCCCGGUGGACCCCGGCUGCGGCGCAGGGCUGGCGGGCGGGGCUGGAGGGGACCCGCCGGACCCGGGACUUCGCGGUCCAGCUGCAGCGGGAUGAGCCGAGCGGCUGUCCCAGCCCGCAUGGGUUGACCAAGGCCCGGAGAUUAGGUGGGGGUCAGGCCCCAGCCGGGGAGAGGCUGGGCCCUGAAGAGAACGGUCAGGGGUCGGGGCUGCCUGGUGGCGCCUGCGAGAGGAGGAAGGAAGGGGUCGGUCGGCGGCUGCGCGCGGGGUCACUGCGCGGGCGACGGUGGGGGACAGUGUAGUCACCUCCAGGGUGCCUGUUGGCCGGGAAGACAGAAGCUCUGGAAGGAGGGCGAGGCAAAAGAGCCCGGGAAGGGGGCGGGACCAGGGCCGUAGCAGAGCCGAGCCCUCCCCUGGGGGGGCAGGGGGCUGGCCUGGGAGGCGCUGCCCACCUGCCGGACUCGGGAGGAGCUGACACUCCCUGUCUCUGGAGCUGUCCGGGCCUCACCUCUGGAGCCUGCUGCUACCCACCCCUUCCUGGGAAGUCCCACCGUGUUGACACCCCUCUAGCUGUGGAAAGGCUCCAACAGCUGGACUCUUGCCUUGGGUGUGGAUGUGCGGACCCCUUCCAAAUUCACCCACUGCCUCCCCGGGACCAUUAAGGUCUGUGGGGUAGGGGCGCUGAGUCCUGCUCUCUGAACUACGGCCCCAGGGCUAAUAGCCCAGACAGGUCUGGCCAUGUGGCCCCGAAGCUGACUCCCAUGUGUCUUUAUCCAUUGCUGUGUAAGUGCAACAAGGCACCCCAGCAUUUCGUGGCUCAAAGCAAGCACCCAUUUGUUGCUAGCUCAGUCCAUGGAUGGCCCCCGCCCAGAUGGGCAGCUCUCCCCUCGGGUUUGUCUGCGGUUGUGGUCAGGAGCAGCAGGGCUCCGUGGGCUUACGUGACCCGGAUGGCCUCUUUGCCGUGUGUCUGGCCCCUCCCAUGGGCUGGCUGGCCUUCUCCCGGUGUGUGACCUUUCCGUGUGUGGCAUGGCAGUCUCGGAGCAGUGGGGUUCUCCCACGACAGCAGCUCCCCCAGCACAUGGUCACGAGGCCGUGUUUCCCAUGACCCACCUCAGAUGUCUUGCAGCACCAUUUCCACUGCGUCCUGUGUCACAGAGAAAGUCCUGGGCUGCCCGGGUUCCAGGGAAGGGACCUCACAGGGCUCUGGAGCACCGGGCCCCCAAUAAUCCUGUAGGGGUUUGCCCCUCCCAGCCUUCGCCACCCGCCUAGUGUCCUGGGGUGGGGGGGGCGGCGGGGGGGCAGAGAGACGAACACCAGGGCCCGUCCCAGAAGCUGGCCCCACCCCACCCAGCAGCCAGGUGCACCUGUCCUGCACACACUCCGGGCCCAGGGACGCUCCCUUCCCAGAGCACAGGACAAAUCACAGAGCUGAGCUGGCAAGAGCCCCGGCCUGGGCAGAGGAGGGGCCGCAGGGAGCUGCAGGAGCAUCUGGGAAGACGCAGCAUCUCACAGAGCAUUGUUUCCUUCACAUUGAGGCGGAAAGCACUGUGCAUCACAUCAGUGGCUCGUAGCCUAGACUGCGGAACUUACGUCCCUUCAGUACCAGCGAGGUGCUGCUCCUCUGGGAACUAGUAGCAGCUCUGUAGAGUUGCCGUCUGCCCUGCUGAGUGCACUCCCGGCUGGACGGCUCGGGAGACCCUCUCUCCCCCGGCCCUACUGGCAGCCGGAGGCAACGCGCACCUCCCUCCGCGGGCCAGCAGGCUCAGCCACAGACAAACAGGGGAGCCGCCCACAGGAGUUCAGACGGCACGGGGUCGACCAUCUCGCGUGAGAAGUCUGCAAGGAGGAGGCCCCAAAGCUGUCCCCGAGCUCCGCCACGCACAGCACGUCAGCCCCGCUCAACCUCACGGUCACAGGGUGGCUACCGUGGUCCCAGCCUUGUCUGCAGACCCCGUGGCAUCAGUACACGGGAGGGGCUUUGCAAUUGAGAGGAAACCCUUGCCCAGGAGGCCCCGCUCUGAGGACCAGUGACCAUUCUCCUCCGAGGUCUGGCCGGGGGACAUUGCCUUCCCUGAGCACGGACCACAAGGGUGAGGAGGAGGUCAGGUGGCCGCGGAGCGGACGGAGGGGAGCGUCCACUGCCUCAGCCCCACGGCCUGGGGACUUCAGCUCCUCCGCACGUGCGCGUGUACACGUGCCCGUUUCCCCUCCCGGGGCGUCCAGCUUGGGACCCCCUGCUAACUCGGCACUGGACGUUUGUCUCCUUCGAGGGAGUGUGCACUCUGUAGCACAUUCAGAAGAGCGUCUUGUUUGUACUUCCUUCCACGCUUAAUCUUCUCAUGUAAUCAUCCCUUCUCUUUCCUUCUCCUGCGAUGGCUCGUCUUACGCGUCAGCGUGGCUGUGCCGCAGGGGCCCGGGUAUUUGGUGGAACGUUACGCCCGGCGUUUCUGGGUGAGACGGACAUCUGACUCGGCGAACUGAGGGAAACGGAGGCCGCCCCGGUGUGGGUGGGCCUCGUCCGAUCAGUUGGGGCCUGAAGACGAAGGCGGAGGGGGAGAACCCACCCCCUCUGCCCGUCUUCCAGCUGGGACACGGGUCUCCUCCCGCCUUUGGGCUCAGAGCGGGACCCACGGCCGGCUCUCCUGGGUCCGGUCAUGGGGCCUUGUGGCCAGCACGAGCACGGGGGGACCUGUCCCUAGAGUGACGGCAUGCGCACGGGGGGACCCGUCCCUAGAGUGACAGCAUGAACACGGGGGACAGGCCCUGAGAGUGAAACCACAAGCACGGGGGGACCCGUCCCUGAGAGUGACUUUGAUACACACAGACAUUUAUAUAUCUGUCUGUUUCUCUGGAGAACCCGGGUCAACGCCCCUGGUCAUCCUGCGAAUGGUCUUGUGUGGCGGCCACCCUGGACUGGUGCCCCUUCUCCAGGACCCAGGGGUCCCUCGUCUCCCUGAUGACUUCCAGCCUAGCGUCACCGACCCGUGCCUUCCUCCUCCCUGGUCUGCUUCCUCGUGUGAGGGGUGUCUCCCGAAAGCCAAGUAUUUGGUGUCCUCAGCAGCUGAGAUCCGGGCGGGUGUCCUAGCUUGAAGACGCGGCUGCCCAGGGCUUCUGGCGUCACAGGAACGGCGGAGCCAGUCCCUGACCCCUUGGGGGGGCCUGUGCCCCUCUGGCUGCGUUUGGAUCCUGAAGUCCCAUCGCGUCGGGUCUGGGAUGGGCUUCUGGAUCCUCAGCCAGCGACCCAUCUGUUUGCAAACGUGUGCCCUGCAGUUUGUGAAACCUUCUGGCAUUUUCUCCCUUCCGUUUGCUCACCGCUCCAGAACCCCGUUGGCUGGAUGUCAGAUCACACCUCUGUGGUCUGUUGUUUGUAUGUCUGCCCUUCCGUUCUGCUGAAUGGGAGCGUUUCUCAAUUUUAACUUUCAACCCAUCUUCCAAACUGCUGCCGUCGUGUCUCUGACCCCGGGGAGCCCGUGCCUCCUCUCCCGCCCCCGCCUUCUCGGCGGCGCUGUCCCUGUUUCCCGACGCGAUGUUUCAGCCUCUAUCGGGGCAUUACAGGCGGUCCCUCGUGCACACUCGCCGUCCUGUUUCCUGUAACUGUGGCCCCGUCUGUGUCUGGGCAGGUGUGUCACGGAUGGGGGGGUCUGGUGUCACCGUCCAGCCCCGGGGAGCCCAGGUUUUCGUAUCGGGGUCUUUGCUCUGGCCUGAGCCUUGUGGACGGAGCUCACGCUGGCCCCGCCCACCGCCUCUGAGUCCUGGUCCCCCAGAGAGGCCGGACCGCAUGGCCGGGCCGCUCGGGCUUUCUUCCUGCCACUGCCGAUGCCCGUGCCAGUGCCGCCCGGUGUCACUGCUGACUUCACGUCUGACUCCACAGUUCCACCUCUUUGCUUUGCCUGUUUUUCUUCAGAAUUAGCUUAUUUAUCAUUAACCUUCACUUUUCCUUACAAGCGCUAGAACAAAUGGGAUAAAACCAACAGGAGGGAUUUGAAUCGGAAUGGCCACUGGGUCUGUGAUGACCUGGGAGAACGUGCAUACAGACUCCCCGCGCCCAGACGGAGCCCCCUCGUGCACCCAGAUCUGCCUGGAUCUCUCUGGGGUGCCUCUUUGUGGACUCGGAUCCCCUGCUGUUGGGGACACCCCCCCCCCGCUGUUGUGGAUGCCCCCCUGCUGCCCCCCACUGCUGCCAACGCCUCCCCAGCAGUGUUGUGCUGCGUGUGCCUGGGGAAGCGGCACCGUUGGUUUUCAGACGGUAAAGUGCGACGUGUUGUGCAAGGAGAAGCAUAUAAAAACCAGUUAAAAAAAAUGGCAAAAGAGACAUGCAGGAGCCCGAUACGAAAUAGCACAUUUUUGGUUCCCUGGAAGCCGCUGGGGGGACUGUCCCAGCAAAGCAACUUCCUCCAGACGUCGUGUCCUGUCCCCUGGCUUUUAGCACUUGGUGUACGUCCCCGGCCUACGUUCUCCCUGUUUUGACAAGCGGCUCAGCUGAAGGCCCCCCAGGAGGAGAGACACCGCAGAGCCUCGGCCUCCCAGUCGGCGGGCAGGGACGCAGAUGAUCUCUGGACGCCCAGGCGCCCACGGCCCCGGGCAGGGCAAAAGGCAGGGCUAGGAGGAUGGGCUGCCCCACGUGUCUGCUUCUGACCCACCAGGGUCCUCUGCGCACUCUCUGGCGUAGGUCAGGCACGUGUCAGAGCCGCUGCUCCUGGGGGAAGCUGUGUCCUCAGCUGCCCAGUCCGGAUGGCCGACCCUCACAAGGCACAGCUGUCCCGCAGACCUCUCCCCCCACAGCCCUGGGGCUCCCUUCCUGGGGCUCCUGUGUGAGACACUGGGGUCUGCAUGCUGGGCUUCUCUCUUUCUUGGUUUGCACGCUUGUUUUCCUGGAGCAGGUCUUUGAGAGAGCACACGUGGCAGAUAGCGUGACACCUCGCAUGUCUCAGAAUGUUUUUUAUUUCAUCUCAUACUCCGAGGAUGGCUUGGCUGGGUAUGGAAUUCUAGGUUGGAACCACUUUCUGCAGCACUAGGGGCAGUGGGCAGGCAGUUCGUCGCCUCCUUGUCUGCCUGCCUCCCGUGUGGCUGCUUCUACUUCCGAAGGUGUCCUGAGGCCUCUUUUGGGAUCCAAAACGUGUUGCUUUGGAGAGUGUCCCAUUUGUACUAGAAAAGAGUGUGCCUCAGUUUAUCGCAUUAUCCAAAUUGCUCACAUCUUUGCUUGUGGCUGCUCGAGCUGUCUGUGUGCAGAGAGGAGUUGGAGCAGGUCGCUUGUCAUCUGUGGCUUUUUGUUUUCUGAAGCUAUGUUUUUAGUGGCAUAUGUGUUCUGUUCUCUGAUCUGAGAGUCAUGUCACACUUAUUGAUAUUCCUCUUUGUCCUUUGUGAUGCUUGUAUUUUAGAAUGGUUAUAACAGUCCAUUUUAUGCUUGGUAUGUUUUACUGCAAUAAAAAAAUAUAAAAUAAAA